UCAAAGCAUCAGAAGUUAAUGGCGACUUUUCGCUGUUAGACUCACACACGGGUGAAUGUGUGGCUAACUCUCCGCAGAGAGAUACGGGAAAGGAAAAUAUUCCUGUGUGUGUUUUGUUUCGCUGUUUGUAUUUCUCUCUCUCUCUGUGUUUGUGUUUUCAGCUCUGAUGUUUUUUUUUUCUCUGUCGAGACUCUGUCCUCACACAGCCCUGGUUUGAUUCCCUACUGUUUGUAGCUGCAUCUACAGUCAGCUCUGUGUUUGCUACAGAAGAAGAAGAAGAAACUUCAGCGUUUCUCUGUUGUUUUUUGAUUUUAUUUUAGUCUACAACGUGCAAAAAGUCAACUCUGCUGUCGCUGCAUCAUUAUUUUCCUCUUUGUGUUGUUUCUUUUUUGACUCCUGCAUGAACUUUAAUUAAACAUAAGCAAGUGUGAAAAUGCCACUCCUCCUUAUUACACCACCUAUACAGUGGUUACGUCAGCUAUUAUUUUCAAAUGAUUUAUUAGAUUUAAACAUAACAUUAUUUUUAACAUAAUAAUUCAUUUUUAUUUACAUUAGACAUUCAGAAAUAAUAUUUUAUCCCUAAUAUGUUCUCUCUUUAUUGUAAUUGUGAAGUGUGCCACACGGUGGAUCGUCGUUAUGUUGACUUUAGUUUCCAGCCUCAUCAGCUCAGGACCAAUCAGCUCACAGGAUUAAUUCAAGGACCUGUCGCAUACACACAUCACCUGUAGCACAUCUGCAACCAAUCGCAUUGAUACACACACACACAUACACACAAAUGACAGCAAGCAUUAGGAUUGAUCCCAAGGGUCAAUUGUUACUGUUACAAAAGAAAUAGAAAAUAAAAAAUGUAUUAGACAAAUGGAGACAUUUUUUGUCAUAUAUAAAAUUUAACACUUUAAAAGAAAUGGCAUUUAAUGAAUAUGUAUAUAGAUAUAAUUUAAUAAAGUUAGUUGCAAAUGUUAUGUCAAAUAAUCUGAAUUUGAAGAACACUAUCCACCACGAGGCCUCCUCCUCCUGAUCCUCCUCCUCUUAUUUCUCCUCCUCCUCUUUUACCUCACUCCUGCACAUUCCAGCUCCUGGACUUUCUCUUCAGAUGUUAAUCACACAGUUUGACCUACAGUAACCUCCUUUCAUUCUACUGUAGCCCCUUUCCUCCUCGUUUCCCUCUCUCUCUCCCUCUCUCUCUCUCUCUCUGGAGGCCCCUACUCAGGCCCCACACUCAGGGGCUUCCCCAUUGGUCGCUGGGAAUCGCCUCAUCCCGCAGCGUGGCCCCUCGCAUUCUGCUUCAGUCACUGGAGCGUUUUCCCGGUCAUAAAAGAAAGAGGGGUGUGUCCAGACCCUCCCUCUGUGGACUGGACCGGACUGGACCCCAGAACUGCAGCAGGAGUAGAAGGAGGACCUGGUCUGGUCUGACUCAACAUGGACCACAUGGGACUGACUGAACAUCCUGAUUUGACGUCAAAGAUUCCUGAGUCUGUGUUGGAAGAAGAACAGACACACGGAGGAUCCACGUUUCCUGACUGAUGCUGAAGGGACAGAGAGACAAAGAGAAAAAAAAAAAGUUUGAUUUUAUCCCGCGUUCCCGUUCUUGUUCCUGGGAGGGAUACAGCUCCAUCCCUCCGUCCUGUCUUCUCUCCGUCCACCCGUCCAAAUGUAAACAUGUCCUCCAACUUGCAUUGAUUGACAUGCUGUGUUGAUUUUCUCAUUACUGACACACACACACACUGGAAGCCAUUUAAAGUAAUGGUAUAUUCCAGCAGUGUUCACGAGAGCAGGGGCUUCACCUGCAGCUGCUCCGGCACCACAUGUCAAAGCUGAGAGUCAGAUGUUUGUUCAAGUCCUGAUUUAAUUUCACUGAUCAGCUCACAGACGUCUGACAGAUCGUCUGGAAAAAAAAAGCAGAAACCAGUUCAAACCAGCACAAGUUAUUUCAAUGACGUCACGGUCAGGCCGGCAGCCCACAGUUGGACAACAGAUAUGAACAAAAUAGGUUUAUCUGGUCUAAUAUUGGGCCAGAACCACAUGUGGGCCAAAAAUGCCUGGGUUUUUGUUUUGUACGUAGCCACAGUAUUCACAGAACCCAUGUGACCCAUUCCAGGACCAGAACUGUUUGUUCUACGUGGGUAUUUACCCCGCCUACAGCCCAAGGUCAGUCGUAGUCACAAAACAAGCAGCUGUAGAUUAAAUGACCUAUUUGUGUUUAUGAUUUAUAUUAUAUGAAGGUUGCAGAUCACUGAUUUCGCACAAUUCCCUCUUCCAUCACCUGCACUGAUGCUGUUUUUGUUUUCGCCCCUGAGCUGCUCAUUUGAACUGCUGGUGUGUGCGGCAUAAUGAAACUAAAACAAAUCAGAUGAAGUCAGAUGAAAUGUGACUGCGUGUUUUUAAUAAUUACAUGUUGAAGACGGUGGUGGAGAGAAGCAUUAGAGGAAUUUAAUGGGUUUCAAUGGAGGCCGUUCAACAGGACACUGUGCCAGUAGCUACAACUGGGAGAAGGAAGAGACUCCACCUUUCUGUUCAACUGCCAUUCAGAAAAUUAAACCUACAGCACAGCAAAUUCCCAGUCAUGGGAAAGUUUAGGACUGGGUCACAUCCUGCUUCUUUUAAUAGUGGACUUUGUCCUUUUUUCUGUGAUUUGUACACAAUGAAAAAUGUAGCCCACAGUUUCAAACAUGACAUGCUCUGACCAGUGGCCUGUUUGCUGUAAGGCAAGAUCACUAACCACUUGUCCACAACGUGCUCCUCCCCUCAUUAAAUAAAAACCCAAUUAGUUUUUUUGAAAAUAAUUUUUGAAUAAUUCACCUAUCCAUGUAUGUUUUUACCUGAAGAACCCCCCCAACACACACACAUACACACUCCAUGACCAGAGAUCAAACCAGUGACAUGUGACCCCCCUGCUGUAAGGCAGUGGUACUAACCCCUCGUCCACUCUAUAAUAAUGUUGUUAUUUUAACCAGUAAAGUCCUUUUAUUCCACUCCCACCCUCUGCCUACAUUUUGCAAAUUUUCCCACUGACCUUUCGGAAAGCUGAUUGACUGACACUUAAAUUCUAAUCCAGUCAGUCCUUGUUACAACAUUUACACACCUACAAAAAGGGAGGGACGCCCGACGCUGCCCAACGUUUCCCAACAUUUCCUCCCUGUACAACAACAGAGAUCAAUCAUGGUUCCGCUGAAGGGACAUUUUUCAAUUUAACCUUUAUAUUAUGUCUUGACUACAUCAGAGGAGUUUCGACACACUUAACAUGAGUGGCAUUUAAUAUAGCAUAACACUUGCAAGGUGAGGCCGGAAUGUGACCCUAUUUAAAUAUAGAUGGGAGGGGGCCUGCCUAUGAGGCUGAGAGGCAGCUGCAGCGCCGCACCUCCCCCUACACAUACACACAAUUAUAAUUAAACACACCUUAUGCCUCCUUUGCAAAUGCCCCUCAUCGAUCUGCAGGUUUUUAACAUUCAUGUGUGAACUGCCCCGCAGCAAACGCAGUCUACGU